CUCUAAUUCUCCUGCCCACCCAGGCUUGCGGCGCUGAUUGGAGAUAACUUAGAACUGGGCUGCGUGCUCAGCGGAGGAGGCAGAGCGGAGGUAAGCUGGGUCAGGGACCCGUUCCCCUGUGCACCCCCCCUCACCGGUUAUUGCAGGCAACCCUCUCUGCGCGCCCCCCCACCCAGCUCACCUCCACCUCCUCGCCUGAGGGGGCUUUUAGGCGCCACCAACCACUAGGCGCCCUAGGCGGCCGCCUAGUUUGCCCAAAUGGUUGCACCAGCCCUGGCUACAUUGAUGACAUCUUCAUCAUCUGUACUCAUGGAAAAGAAGCCCUUGAGGAUUUUAACAAUUUCCAUCCCACCAUCAACCUCAGCCUAGACCAAUCCACACAAGUGGUCCAUUUCCUAGACACUACUGUGCUAAUAAGCAAUGGUCACAUAAACACCACCCUAUACCGGAAACCCACUGACCGCUAUACUUACCUACAUGCCUCCAGCUUCCAUCCAGCACACACCACACAACCCAUUAUCUACAGCCAAGCUCUAAGAUACAACCGUAUUUGCUCCAAUCCCUCAGACAGAGAUAAACACCUACAAGAUCUCUAUCAAGCAUUCUUAAAACUACAAUACCCACCCGCUGAAGUGAAAACACAGAUUGACAGAGCCAGAAGAGUACCCAGAAGCCACCUACUACAGGACAGGCCCAACAAAGAAAAUAACAGAACACCACUAGCCAUCACCUACAGCCCCCAACUAAAACCUCUCCAGCGCAUCAUCAAAGAUCUACAACCUAUCCUUAGAGAUGAUCCCUCACUCUCACAGGUCUUGAGAGACAGGCCAGUCCUCGCUUAUAGACAGCCUCCCAACCUGAAGCAAAUACUCACCAGCAACCGCACACCAUACAACAUAAACACUAACCCAGGAACCUAUCCUUGCAACAAAGCCCAAUGCCAGCUCUGUCCACAUAUCUAUUCAAGUGACACCAUCAUAGGACCUAAUCACAUCAGCCACGCCAUCGGGCUCAUUCACCUGCACAUCUACCAAUGUUAUAUAUGUCAUCAUGUGCCAGAAAUGCCCCUCUGCCAUGUACAUUGGCCAAACCGGACAGUCUCUACGCAAAAGAAUAAAUGGACACAAAUCUGACAUCAGGAAUCAUAACAUUCAAAAACCAGUGGGAGAACACUUCAACCUCUCUAACCACUCAGUGACAGACUUGAAGGUGGCAAUUUUGCAACAAAAAAACUUCAAAAACAGACUCCAAAGAAAGACUGCUGAACUCAAACUAAUAUGCAAAUUAGAUACAAUUAACUCAGGCUUAAACAGAGACUGAGAAUUUUUGGGUCAUUACACUAAUUGAAUCUAUUUCCCUAUGUUAAGUUCUCCUCACACCUUCUUUGGGUCAUCUUAAUUAUCACUUCAAAAGGUUUUUUUUCUCCUGCUGAUGAUAGCUCAUCUCAAUUGAUUAGACUCUUCCAGUUGGUAUGCAUACUUCCACCUUUUCAUGUUCUCUGUAUGUAUAAAU
rnacentral:lncRNA from 1 species